rnacentral:rRNA from 1 species
AUUGAACGCUGGCGGCAGGCCUAACACAUGCAAGUCGAGCGAGCGGCGGACGGGUGAGUAAUGUAUGGGGACUGCCCGUUAGCGGGGGAUAACUACUGGAAACGGUGGCUAAUCCCGCCUACUGUCCGAUAACCCAUAUGGGAUUCGCUAGUAGGUAAGGUAAUGGCUUACCUAGGCGACGCUCCCUCGCUGGUCUGAGAGGAUGAUCAGCCACACUGGGACUGAGACACGGCCCAGACUCCUACGGAGGCAGCAGGGGGGAAUAUUGCGCAAUGGGCGCAAGCCUGAUGCAGCCAUGCCGCGUGUAUGAAGAAGGCCCUAGGGUUGUAAAGUACUUUCAGUCGGGAGGCGUUACCGACAGAAGAAGCACCGGCUAACUCCGUGCCAGCCGCCGCGGUAAUUC